rnacentral:lncRNA from 10 species
GGGAACCGGAGGGAGGACAGCGCGAGGUCCCCGGACAAAGCGUGGCGCAUAAGUCCGGCCCGUAACUUGGUGGGCAGGCAACUUAGGGGAUGUGGGCCUGGUUAUAGCUGAGCAUGCUUUUCUAUUCCUCCCAGACCACAGUUCUUCAGACCUGGAGCCACUUUCAGAGAAGAGUAUAAGUUGCACUGAAUUGAAAAAGGGAAAAGUUUAGGACUGCAGAAGAUGGAAUUCCUGGGGACGUUAAACUGGGCUAAGAUGGAGCAGAUAAGAUUUCCUUAAUUAGAGCAAGACACACCUAGUAUCUAGAGCCUGGAAGUCUUGGUCAAGGAUUCUCCCUAACAUCUCAGUUUCUCAGCACUAACAUUCCUGCUACUAAAAUGAAGUGAGAAAUUAAUUUCUGAAGUUAAGUAAAGAAAUAAACUAAAAUUCCUAGAAAAGAGGUAAGAAGAAUGAGCCUUUGAAAAAUGUCUUCACAAAGACUGGCAUGAUGGCAUGGAAGAAAGAGCCCCAGAUAUCCAGUAUACAUCUCAAGGUCAACUUGUCCAAAACAGAGCUACUGAUGAUUUUCCCCUUGAAAUCUACUCUUCCUACAGCUUAUUCAUCUCAAAUAGACUCUUCAGAGAGUCUCCCAGCAAGA